rnacentral:rRNA from 1 species
AACGUAGGAGACAAACGUUAUCCGGAGUUACUGGGCGUAAAGGGCGUGUAGGUGGUUUGUAAGUCUGGCGUGAAAUUUUUCGGCUUAACCGGGAAAGGUCGUCGGAUACUGCAGAACUAGAGGACGGUAGAGGCGUGUGGAAUUCCGGGUGUAGUGGUGAAAUGCGUAGAGAUCCGGAGGAACACCAGUGGCGAAGGCGACACGCUGGGCCGUACCUGACACUGAUGCGCGACAGCAUGGGGAGCAAACAGGAUUAGAAACCCCGAGAGAU